AUUGAACGCUGGCGGCAGGCUUAACACAUGCAAGUCGAACGAUGAAACUCUAGCUUGCUAGAGAAGAUUAGUGGCGGACGGGUGAGUAACAUUUAGGAAUCUGCCUAGUAGUGGGGGAUAGCUCGGGGAAACUCGAAUUAAUACCGCAUACGACCUACGGGUGAAAGGGGGCGCAAGCUCUUGCUAUUAGAUGAGCCUAAAUCAGAUUAGCUAGUUGGUGGGGUAAAGGCCCACCAAGGCGACGAUCUGUAACUGGUCUGAGAGGAUGAUCAGUCACACCGGAACUGAGACACGGUCCGGACUCCUACGGGAGGCAGCAGUGGGGAAUAUUGGACAAUGGGGGCAACCCUGAUCCAGCCAUGCCGCGUGUGUGAAGAAGGCCUUUUGGUUGUAAAGCACUUUAAGCAGGGAGGAGAGGCUAAUGGUUAAUACCCAUUAGAUUAGACGUUACCUGCAGAAUAAGCACCGGCUAACUCUGUGCCAGCAGCCGCGGUAAUACAGAGGGUGCGAGCGUUAAUCGGAAUUACUGGGCGUAAAGCGAGUGUAGGUGGCUCAUUAAGUCACAUGUGAAAUCCCCGGGCUUAACCUGGGAACUGCAUGUGAUACUGGUGGUGCUAGAAUAUGUGAGAGGGAAGUAGAAUUCCAGGUGUAGCGGUGAAAUGCGUAGAGAUCUGGAGGAAUACCGAUGGCGAAGGCAGCUUCCUGGCAUAAUAUUGACACUGAGAUUCGAAAGCGUGGGUAGCAAACAGGAUUAGAUACCCUGGUAGUCCACGCCGUAAACGAUGUCUACUAGCCGUUGGGGUCCUUGAGACUUUAGUGGCGCAGUUAACGCGAUAAGUAGACCGCCUGGGGAGUACGGCCGCAAGGUUAAAACUCAAAUGAAUUGACGGGGGCCCGCACAAGCGGUGGAGCAUGUGGUUUAAUUCGAUGCAACGCGAAGAACCUUACCUGGUCUUGACAUAGUGAGAAUCUUUCAGAGAUGAGAGAGUGCCUUCGGGAAUUCACAUACAGGUGCUGCAUGGCUGUCGUCAGCUCGUGUCGUGAGAUGUUGGGUUAAGUCCCGCAACGAGCGCAACCCUUUUCCUUAUUUGCCAGCGGGUUAAGCCGGGAACUUUAAGGAUACUGCCAGUGACAAACUGGAGGAAGGCGGGGACGACGUCAAGUCAUCAUGGCCCCUACGACCAGGGCUACACACGUGCUACAAUGGUAGGUACAGAGGGUUGCUACACAGCGAUGUGAUGCUAAUCUCAAAAAGCCUAUCGUAGUCCGGAUUGGAGUCUGCAACUCGACUCCAUGAAGUCGGAAUCGCUAGUAAUCGCAGAUCAGAAUGCCGCGGUGAAUACGUUCCCGGGCCU
rnacentral:rRNA from 1 species